rnacentral:misc_RNA from 1 species
GGCGGAGGAAAUCUCCGAGGAGAAAACGAGCAGAAGAGGAAGGUGCGGAGGCGGCGGUGGUGACGUUUGGCCAAGGACCGGAAACGUUGAGGUCGAGGGACAGACCGGUGACGGGAGGAGGGAAGUUGGUUUUGGCUUUGGAGCCGCGGAGAGAUCUGGCGGCGCCGUCGUAAGCAAGGGCGGCUUCUUCCGGAGUAUCGAAAGUGCCUAACCAGACACGGGUUUU